UACGGUAUUACAGAAAACUUAGCACCUGGAAUGCAGAAACCUCCGCGCAUCUAGGACGGGAUAUGCUGACAUUCAGGAACCCCCAGGAAUGGACUGUAGAGACCCCCCUAACAUAGCCCGAUCCUCAGAUAGUGUAGAGUUAUGUCAAUGGGAUCCGAAGUGACUGAGCUCUUGUAUACUCCGUAUCCUGCCCCGGGAGCCUCAGUGAUCAGACCGGGCGUGAACGGAUCUCCUCCAUUAUUAGAGGAUCAGAAUCCGGUGACAUAGUGAGGAGUCGUCUGGGCGUCAAGUUAUGCAGAGAGAACAUUUAGCUAGACCCGGUGAGUCCCUCGGAGGGCGCGGCGCCUUUGUCAGCUCGGUUUUGUGCCGUGACAGGAAUGAUAAGGAUCAGAUGUCGUACAGUUUGGAUGGAUUCCCCUAAAACUUAUAAGACAAGAUGCCAGGAAUGUGAGAUUGUUACAGACAUCUUCCUGUUUGUCAAGAAUUAAUAAGCUGAACAAGCAGAUGACACCGCCUCACCAUGCGAGCAGAGUUAUAGCGGAAGAACUCCAGCUGUAACCAAGAGAUUUAUGAGCGGAGACCAAGGCAAUAAAAGAACACCAUGUACCAUGAGCGCAACAUAAGACCUACACAAUGUCUAAUCCCAUCUACAUGUCUUAUCCUCGUGCCAGUCAUACCUCUUCAUAUAUAUAUACAUACUGCUCCAUAAGGGCAGAAUUAUUGUAGUUAUGUUCUU